UGGAAUGAAUGCUGUGUAUAAACCUUUGAUAAAUAGUGCCAGUGAUGGUCAUUUUUGUUUUUCCUUAUAUAUAUUUUUCUCAUAUAAAGAAAGGAAAAAAGAAGAACACGAUCUUUGUGCAUUUCUAAAGGAUGUAUUCUUGUUGGAAACUUUCGAAAGUGUGUUAAGUUGAAGAAGAACUGAGUGCACCCAACCCUGGUCCUCCCUGUUCAUCUCGAGCGUGCCAGGGAAAAGACCCCAGGCAUGCGUGUGCCUCGAGUGACAACUCCUGGCCCUGACACUUGAGGACAUUCCUGUGUGUGAAGAAAUGUUCAGCUCCCGGACUCUGCAGCAGCCACUUCCUGCAACCCUCUGACAUGAAAUUCUCAUUGUGUUACUCUUUCAGUUGUGGAAUAUUGUGGUCUGCUGGUACUGCUUAUUAGUUGGUGGUGAAUGUCCUUAACCUUUAUUUCACUACUUCUUAAUACAAAGGUCUAAUUUUUUUGAUGCCUUAUAAUCUACAAACAAUGUAGAACAUGAUUUUAAAAUUUAGAAAUCCUUCAUAUGGUUACAAACAUGGGACUUCAUGGAAUUUGAAGAGUUCAUGUGUGUAGAAUAUAGCACCAUAUUCAGUUUUUAUAAAUGUAUUAAAUAUUACCAUGUGGCCUGUUAGUAUAAUAUUGCAAACAUAAGGAAUCUGGGCCAGGGCAACAAUUGGAUUGUACAGAAUGCAAAAGAAGAAUGUGAUAAGUUGAAUUAUUUGAACUACCAAAUACUCAGCAAUUUCUCAGAGACUAAGCUGGUCCUGCCUGCGACUUGGAAUGAAUUAGGAAAUGUACCUUCUCUGCAGAUGCAGAGCACAAAGGCUCCAGAAGCAAAAGGAAGCUCCAGAAAGAAAGGAAACUGCUCCCCUUUCUGCUGAUAGGAGACCCAGCACCAGGACUCGCAGCCUGGGUGUUGGAGGACUGGUCCUUGUAAGCCUGCUUGUCUCUUGCAUGCGUGUCCUUGUGCAGUGCACAAGCUGCCUCACUCCUCAGAGCCACCCUGUUCAAAUAACUCUGAAGAUUAAGGAUUGUCAACUGUGUGUAACUGGAGACCAGAUUAGUGAAGUCUGUGGCUAAGACGAGACACCUGUAAGCAACAAAGCUGAAAGAGGUAGAGCAUUCCCCCUGCAAGGCCAGUGUUCUUCCAGGAAGCCCACUCCCUUCAGGGUGGCUCACCAGAUACCAGAUGGGGCCACGCCUCUGCAUGGGAGGCAAAGGGGCCCUCACCGUGCGGACACAGACACAGUAACCAAGCCAGACUUCUGCCUUCACGUUUCGAUUUUGCUCAACAAUCAAACUGAGUAAUAACUGUGUGCUCUGCAAUAUUUUCACAAACUGUCUGUGGUAAAACUUCUCAAGGCAGUGCAGCAUACCCAGCAGGCUGUAGUUGUCUUGUUUUAAAGUUAACAGAUAAAAUCGUACAUGUGUAUUGUGUGUUACACAACAUUUUCGAGUGUAUAUACAUUGUGGAAUGAAUAGAUAUAACAUACACCUUACCUCUCAUAAUUAUCCUUUAUUUUUGUGGAGAAUACUCUUGUUAUCCAUUCUCUUAGAAUUUUUCAAGAAUCCAGUUUAUUGUCAUUUUCUGUAGCCAACACCUUGCAUAGUAAAUCUCUUAAAUGUAUUCCUCCUAUAUGAAAUUUUGUAUCUUUUUACAACACCUUGCCAACUUCCUCAUUACACCCUGGAAAUCAUUGUUCUACUGUGUAAUUCUAUGAGAUCGAUUCCUUUAGAUUCCACACAUGAUUGAGAUUAUGCAAUAUUUGCAUGCUGUCCUUAGCUUAUUUCACUUAACAUAAUGUCCUCUGGGUUUGUGUGUCUUAUCACAAAUGACUGGACUUCUACUUGAUGGCUAAAUAGUAUUCCAUUGUGUAUGUACCACAUUUUCCUUACUCAAUAAUCUACUGAUGGACAUGUAGGUUGAUACCAUGUCUGUUAUUGGCAAUAAUGCUGUAGUAAACAUUGAAGUACAGCUGUCUCUUUGACAUGCCAGUUUUAUUUCUCUUGGCUAUGUACCCAGUAGUGGAAUUUGCUGGAUCACACGGUAAUCCUAUUUUGAUUUCUUUGAGGAACCUGUGUUCCAUCAGGACUGAAGUAAUUUAUAUUCCCACCCACAGAGUGUGAGAAUUCCCUUUUCUCCAUAUCCUUACCUGCAUUUGUUACAUUUUGCCUUUGUAGAAUAGCUGUUAGAACACAUGUGAGGUGGCAGCUCCUAUGGUUUUGAUUUGAAUUUACCUGAUGACCAGGAAUGUUGCAUGUUGUUUUCAUGUACCUGGUCAUUGCGUGUCUUCUUUUCUGAGACUUUGUAUUUAGGUCCUUUGCCUAUUUUUCAAUUGGAUCAGUUACUUUCUUGCUAUAGAGUUGUUUGUGUUCCUUACAUAUCCUGAAUAUUAGCCCCUUUUCAGAUAUCUAGACUGUAGUAGUCUAUUUUCUCUAUUUGGCUUUCAAUCUAUUUCUCAUUUUAUGUAUAAUAUUAAUGUUUUAGGGUAUAUUAUCAAGUAUUUAUUUGUUGAAUUAUUUCUUAAUUUAAUUAUGUGGGGUUUUGACAUAUUAUUUUAACAUACAUGUGAUUAUUCAAAAGUGAUAAUGAUUGUGUAUAUAGCAUUAUUAUUCUCAAAUUGUUUAUGAGGAAACAUUCAGACAAGUUGAACAAUCUGCCUAAGUUCCAAAGAGCAAGGCUUUGAUGUAUAUCUUUCUGGCCCUAAAACACAUUCAUUUCCCUAUGUUGAAAUAUUGCCAGACCCAGAAAGUCGUGUGCUGAGAGGAUAUUAACAUGAUGCAUGUGAGAAAGUCACAAAGUUAAAGCCUAAUGAAGAAAGGCCACAUCUGGGAAGUAUAAGAACAAUUUUAGUGAGAACUGAAGAACAUACAUCUCUAGAACAAAGGGCAGUGAUGAGUUGACAAUUACUCUGAGAUUUCCUGUGUUGCUGGCUGCUGAUACAGUGGCAUUACCCAGUGCGACAAAGAAAGCAGGCACAGAGUUCUGUCACUGCGAGAUGAUGAGUGAAUUAUCUUCUCCACAUUUCAUUCCUGCCAUGACAGCAUGUGCAGUUUGAAAUGCCUUUAGUAGGAAACUCUCGCCAAGUUGGGUAGAGAGGCAAAGUUUCCAGCUAGACAAGUAGGUUUGGACAGGUAUCUGUAUACAGAUGGAAGCAGAUGAUGUACCUGCUGCCUGGUGUUUGGCAAAAAGAGUAGAGCACCUAUUAAUUUCCAGAGGAAACUCCAUGGAAGCAGUGUAAGAGGCAAGAGGAAGAUCAGACAAGCCACAGGAGUUUCAUAAUGUAUAGGUUCCUGAGACACCUUGCAUGUCACAAUAUUUCCACAAAACAGGGCAUAUAAGAGGAUAGAUUUUGAAGAGACUAGUUAAAAUUUGCAUAGUUUCAUGAAAAUGUGAACAUUUGUCAUCAAUGCAUUAAGAAAAUCAAUGCUAAUAAAAACAUGAACACUUAAAAGAUAUAAUUAAAAGCUUAAAAGAUAUAAUUUUCUUAUACGUAAAAAGCUACAAAUGUGAAUACCUGAAGGGUACCCAAUUGAAAUAGGUGAAGGUAGAUACAUGGAAAGAUUUCUACAAAAGUUCAUGAUGCUUACUUACUCUGUGCCAGCCCACACCAAAGCUGCUGGAUAAACAAUAGUGCUCAGGUCCCGGGCACACAUUGUGAGAGGCUUGAGAGAUCAGUGGAGUAGACAGAUCAACACGAAAUUAUAAUAUGGUCUGUGUGUGCUCAGUUCUUGAAAAAGUAGGUGCAAGAUGUGCUGGCAUCACUUGAAAGGAACAGGGAUCUGGCCUUGUGGAAAAGUUAGGCUGGUCAAAGACUGCUUUUGAAAAAAGGUGAAGGGGAGCUUCGAAACGGAAGGCAGAGAAUUCUAGACAGGCAGCAGCCUGGACCAAACCGAGAAUGGAAAGAACACUGAAAUGUUACAAAUGUUGAUCUGAACUGGUAUUCCUGAAUUUAAAUUCUCCCACCUGAUAAUUCAAACUUUCAGCCUUCCUUGGUCUGUAUCUUUAUACAUUUUUAUUUGUGGUGCCGGGGUUGAAUUCAGGACCUCUUGCAUGUUGGUAGGUGCUCUACGCUGAGUGAUAUUCCAAACCAUUCCUGUCCCUUUCUAGGUCCUCAAAGCCCUCUUGGCAGGGAGACAGAAAAAGAUGUCACAGGAAAGGCCUAUUUGUUAACCGCUGUGAGCUGGGCGUGACCUGUACCAUUCCUGCCCUCAUCUUGCUGGUCUUUUGUUCCAGGAACACUCCCCAUGGCCAGAGAUACGGGGAAGGUUACAUAGUCUAGCCAUGAACAACUGAAAAUUAAAUAGAUCUUAAUAAACAUACAGCUUUCUCAGUUACACAUACGUAGGGUGAAGUAGAAUUAAACAUGAUCAGCUUCUAGAGUCAAAAUAGGGCCAGUUCAUAAAGGACAUUUUAUUUCACGGUUAGACUCUUUCCCGAGGGAAGGGAUGAUCUAGCUACAAGGAAACAGACAGGAUGCAGGGCUGAGCACGAUGCCUGAGCAUCUGCUGGAAGACUCCCGACUGGAUACUUUAACUGCUAUCAAACUCAUUAUUUUAUGGAAGAAAAAAACUCAGAAAGGAAAUAGGCUGUUCCAUGCUUUGUAUGUCAACCAGUUUCCUCCAGGACUUUUUGAGGCAAACUGCAAAGAUGAUUAGAAAGACAGAAUCUUUUUUUUCCCUCUCUCUUUUAAAAGGAGCUGUGGCAUUUUCAGUCCACAUAAAAAGUCGGUUUUUCAGUCACAGAAUAGUCACUGUUGUCUUGCUGCUCUUGCAAAAAUGGCGCCAUCCGGGCUGGAUAGCACAAUGCCGAUGUUUUGCUGGGUGAUCACUGUGAUUAGGUGUGUACCCCUCACGCCCAUUCCCACAUCUUGCUUUCUGAGGAAAGGAACUAACUCACCACUCCUCCCCACCCCACUGAUGAUAUUAAUAUUUGGUGGUAGCUUUAUUCGAGGAAGGCUUCUUUGGAAGAAGAGCCGGCUGCAUCAUCUCUGCAAGAUGGACAGCACACGAGUUGACUACUCGCAAAGAGAACGGUGUCACUUUAUCUCUGCUAUAUCUCGAGUACCUUGCAAGAGAUCUCAGAGCACAGAAUACCUCAGAGGUGAAGGGGGUCAGUAGAGGAAUUUAUGACCUUUCUAAUUUGACUAUCACCCUUGGGAGAUUUGUGUCGGGAACUCUGACUAAGAGUGCUCUGUGGCAGCAAGCAUUCUCCGAGGGGAACGUGCUUGACGGCAAUGCUUUAGGCUCCUUGUGUGGGUGCCUUGUAGAAGUGAAUGAGAACACCCUGCGAGCACGGCUCUCCGCUUCCUCACGUGUUUCAUCAUAUUAAACAAAUAUUUACUAUUGCCUGUCACGUGCAGGGACUCGUGCAGGCUGGGGAGAUACAUUUUGUUCCUGUUGUCGCAUGAAUUAGAGUCCGAUUGAUGGGGCAAAAUGUUGAAAUAACAUGAAAUGUUAAAGGAAAAUACUAAUUGCCACAUUUGAACGGCUGAUGGAGUGUCAGUGGUUGGCAAAUAGCCAUCUCUCAUCCCACUCGGGGUGUUCCAAAGGAUCAUGGGAGGAAACUUGGGCUCAGUAUGCAAAUGUUUCGAUUGAUUUUUGAUGUUUUCUCCCGGGCAGAGGAGAGCUUGGGUGAGGCUUCUUAGGGACAUUUAUUUAGCUUUAUUAAUUCAACAAAUACUGAGUGGCAAGCCUUAUAAUAGGGAUUUGUGAGCAAAGCACACACCACGAUUGCCUUUGAGGGCCUGCCAUCUUUGUGUACUUUAUUAUUAUUUUUUAAAGUUGACUCGAAAUUAAACUUGGUAAAUGAUGUUCUCAAAUCAAAUUCUCUCUCUCUCUCUCUCUCUCUCUCUCUCUCUCUCACACACACACACACACACACACACACACACACAUACACACACGGAAUGACAAAUACUAUGAAGACAUCCCAAGUGUAUUUGAGUGUGAAUAUUUGGAUGUUUCUGAAGUAGAAUAAGAGAAAUGGUUUGCUAAAGGGAAUGACUUGACUGAAGGUGAAAAAGAGAAAAAUGGGAACAGUAUGCAAGGACCAAGGGAUUGAAAGAGUAUUCAUGCAGAUAAAUCUGCAAAGACUCGACUGAACGUUAGUUACCUUUCAGACAUUAGAGGUUCUUGAAUUCUGAGCAUUUAUUGCUUUCUCCUGGGCUGUGGAGAAAUAUUGAAAUUAUUUGAGGACAGGAGUGAUGUGGACUAAGCCAGACUCUUUGUCUUAUCAAGUCCUAUAAAGGGAGAUGGAGCAUCCUAAAUGUUGCACAUAAAUAUAAUUUACUGACUGCUUCUAAUGGUACCUUGUAUUUCAAAGCUUUUACGACAUGCAGCUACGUUUUGAUAAACUAAAUAUUGCCUGGGCAUACAUAAGUCUGUGUUAUAAUUGACUAUUAUAAAUAAGAUUCACUAUAGUGAAAUGCUGUUAUGACCGUUUGGCAUCUGUUAUUAUUUGGGAAUAAUUUUCAAAUGCACUAUUUUUAUCAAAACAAAUUUUUAAAUGCUUCUUGAAAUACUUGGAUUAUGCAAAGGCACCUCAGGAAAAAUACUUGUAAUAUUCAACUGGAAGUUGAUAGAAACUGACUUUAAAUAUACCUAGAAUCCCUAAUAUAGAAUACUUUUAUUUUCAUAAUAGCUGUAUUCUUGAUCAGUCUAUAAUAACUUGCAAUUGAUAUUAAAAAAUAUAUGUG
rnacentral:lncRNA from 1 species